CAAGAAAAUAACAGUAUCCAGCCCAUUUUCUCCUGUGGUGCAUCAUCUCGUCUCCUGGGGCCCAGGCCCAGAUGUGGCUGCUUUCGGUGAGGGGAGCUGGGGUCCAUCCAUCCAUCCAAUCCCUGAGGGCCAUUCACUUGGGGGUUUGGGGUUCGAUUUGCUGCUCGAAAGCCGUUGGGAGACCGCUGAGGAUCAGAGCACCAGGUGGCCCACGGAGGGCUGGAAGGGCGUGUGUGCCUCCCUGCUGGCCUAUGCAGGUGUCAAAAAACCUGCGACCCUGAAAGACUCUGAGAGAGUCCCCACGAAGAGGGAACAGCUGGGACGAGAAGGAAAUGGCGUAGCCCACGUGUGAAAGCUCUUCUGACCCUGGAUCUACACCAAGGAUGAAAGUUUGCUCUUCCCUCAGCCCUCGAGGGCGUAGAAGUGGUGGCCCUCUUCGGAAGAAGUCAGAAGUCAGCCCCCUGGGCCCUACCUGAGGAAGCCUGUCAGCCCUGGGGUAGAAAUUCUGGGAGAAGGAUCUGGCCUCCCCCUCGCCUCUGAGCUGCUCGGCUCCCCAUCUCACUGGAACACUUGCCUCUGUCCUUCAACAUGCCUCGAACCUGCGCCCUCCUCUGAGGUCAGCGACAUAUUUAAAGCACUUGCCUUCAUCCUGUUCCCAUCAUCACACUCAGAGAGAGAGAGAGAGAGAGAGGCAGAGACACAGGCAGAGAGAGAAGCAG